rnacentral:rRNA from 1 species
UACAGAGGUCCCAAGCGUUGUUCGGAUUCACUGGGCGUAAAGGGUGCGUAGGCGGUCGGAUAAGUCUGAUGUGAAAUCUUCGAGCUCAACUCGGAAACUGCAUCGGAAACUAUUCGGCUAGAGGAUUGGAGGGGAGACUGGAAUUCUCGGUGUAGCAGUGAAAUGCGUAGAUAUCGAGAGGAACACCAGUGGCGAAGGCGGCCCACUGGUCCGGUACUGACGCUGAGGUGCGAAAGCGUGGGGAGCAAACAGG